UACCACCAUCUUUUCUGCGAAAUCCUGACAGAAAACCUUUGGUUUCCGUCAGACCCGUCCCUCCCCUGUCCGCGGGGCUGUAGCCGAGUGACGGGGCUCCCUCGCCGCCGCAGCGGAGCGUUCCCAGACCGGGAGGAAGCCUGGGUUCCCGCCACUUGCUCCGCCUUGAGAGCAGGGACUGUGGCCGUUACGGUGUUCACCUAACCCAGAGACAGCCCUGGGCACAGCAUCGGGACUUGGCAGAAAGGGAGUUCUUAGGCGAAGGUUCAAUUGAGAAAGUAGUUGAGCAGAUCUGGGCAGUUGAGGCGAAGCUGCUGCAGCGGCGCUAGAGGCGGCGGGAUGAGCGAUGAGCACAGGCGACGAAGGCAGCCGUCGCUCCAGCCCAGGGACAACCUACCGCCCCUGCACCUCAGAAGACAGGACUCUGCUGACGCGGGAAGCAGCAGCAAGGAGAAGCGGCAUUCGGUGGCAGAGCGCGGCAACGCGGGGAGCGGGAGACGCGACGGCAUGCGGGCGGCCCCAGCGGAGGCGGGAACUGAGGAUGGGCAGCGCCAGCCCCGCGCCCCCGCGCUCCCCGUGCUGAACC